rnacentral:rRNA from 1 species
ACAACGAAGAGUUUGAUCCUGGCUCAGGAUAAACGCUAGCGGCAGGCCUAACACAUGCAAGUCGAGCGGCAGCGCGGUGUAGCAAUACACUGGCGGCGAGCGGCGGACGGGUGAGUAACGCGUAUGCAACC